GGAGAGGCUGGCUUGGGAAUAGAUGACGUGUCAAAGAUUGACAUCAACCUUGAGUGCUUAUUUGUGGACUUGAGAUACAGAUAAAAAAAAAAAAAAAAAAACCUCCCUAGAGUGAGGGCUACUUGGGAUACAUGCUAUAUCCCAAGGAGUUCUCAGUUUGAGGUCAGCCCCAGCUCUACAACUCACCAGGAGAGUGCGCGAGGAUGAGGGAGAGACAGCCUGCUCUGGUUCUCUUCAAGGUGACAAUGACACCUGUUGACAGAUGAGAAUUCCAGCCAGGAAUACAGAUUUAGGAAUCAUGUUUCUCACUCUCAUGAUGACAUAGAAGAGAUGCGUCUGAAUCUUUCUGCCAGUGUGUUAAAGUUAUUCUGAUAUUGACUGUAGUUCUGAGCUUUGUCUCUAUCCCACCAAACCACUAACUUCUGGAAAUUACUUGUAGACCAAGAUGGGAGGACUCCGUGUGUGGCUCCAUAUGAAUGACUUAUCGUGCCUGUCCAGAGUCAGGGAAAGGAGAAACAAUCUUAUUUGAGAAGGGAGGAUAUCACUGCAGUGGUUGUGAAAUCGUGUUUGGAAGCUAGAUUGCUCUAGACCACUAAGCUCUCUUCAUGUGACAAAGAAACUUCCUAAAAUACUAAAAGCUAAAGGAGAUUGUUAUCUAAGCUUGAGAUGGAAGGUUGCCAGCGGAAACUUGGAGGAUCACAGCCAGUCGCCUGGGAUUGACCACAGGGAGUGGCAGAGGCAGAAAGCAAAAGACCAGUUGCAAUUAUCCAGGUAAAAGAUGGAGGCUGUUGCAAUAAUCCAGAAUCCUGAAUUGAGCCUGUGUUCCCAGUUCCUAGAAACCCUCAAGGUUAUUGGUUUCCUCCUCGCUUAAUAGACCAGUGGAAGAAAUCUACCUCCAGUUCUAUCUUCACAUGAGCAACUGUUUACAGUUUACAAUAUUACUCUGAAAAUCAGUUCUUUUCAAGUUUUAUCUAACACCCACCAGAAGAAACAGAAGAUUAUGAAAAUGGAAUUUGUCAAAGUUCCUCUCCCAACAAUAUGAUAUUUAAUUUUGCUAACAUUUUUUUUUGAACACUUACUAUAUUGCAGACAAUGGUCUAAGUAAAGCAUUUUAUGUGCAUCCUAUCAUGUCAUCAUCACACAGCCCUGUGAGGUAGAUACUAUUAUUAUUAACCACAUUUCACAUUCAAAAAAACUGAGGCUUAGAGAGACUAAGUAAAUUGUCCAAGGUCACACAGCCAUGAAGUGGCAGAGCUGUGGUUAAAACCUAUGUCUGUCUGAUGUUUAAGAUUUUGCUGUUAGCAUUACUUUGAAAUGACAAUAUGAGGGCAUUUUAUGUAUUUUUUUUGCCCCAAUAUGAUCUGCAGAAACUAUGUAUUUUAAGUACUACAUUUCUUUUAUUUACCAAAUUAUUGUCAGAUAAGAAACCGAAAUAAAAGUUUACAGGGUCUAGGAUUCCUCCAUAAUGAAUGAACUUUGGGGUAUUUCAGUGACAAAUUGGCUUUAACGCGAUCAAAUUCCAUCCUACAAUGAAAGUGUGUUAGUUUGUGGUUUCAAGUUUAAAAACAGCACUGUAUUGUCUUCCAGAAAUAUAUAAAUAGAAAUUCAAGAAGUAUUUCAAUGAAUACAGAUAAAAUUAGUUUUGUUAGAACAUCAAAUAUGUGGGUUUCAUUUCUUAGCUCAGUUUAGAAACUGUAAUUUCAAUUUUUUUUAGCAGCUGUGGUAAAUUUUGAGAUUUGAAAUUUCAUAUAAUAUAAAUCCUCAUUUAUUGAGCAUUUAAAUUAUAUGCCCAACAAUUUACUGUGUACAUUACUUCACUUGUUCUUAACUAUAACUCUACAAAAUAUUAUUGUCCUUGAUUUAUAGAUGAAGAUAUUGAGACUCAGUUAAGUAACUUGCUUGAAAUUCAAAAACGUUAACUGUGGAAGGCAGUAUUUGAACCCAGUGUUCAAAACCCCAUGCUCUUUUUAUUAUAUGACCUUAUUUCCUAUUCAGUCUUCAGAAGAUAUAUUGUCUUAUUAGAUUAUUCUCGUUCUCUAAAUAAGUGACCUUGGGCAACUAUCUUUUUCCCUGGUAUUUUCCCCUGCCUUUAAAACAAUGUGAUCAAACUGGAAGUUUUUCACGAUCUCUCUUAGCCCUAAAGCUCCUUGGUUCUGUAAUUCCACCAAUAGCCCAUUUCAAAAAUAAUUCUACAGUAAUCAGUGGGACUCCUGUUUUUCCCAUCUUUUUUUUUUUUGAAACAGAAAAUUGAAACUUUUAAAUUAGUUUAGUAAAUACAUCUACUAGUUUUUUUCUUUUAUAGUCAUGGUUAUAUUAUUUGGUCCUUCUUAGUUGCAACAUGUUUCCUUGCUGUCAAUUUAUAAUACCUCUCAUCAACAAUAGCCUGAAGAAAUAGAUUUGAAUUGCUUUCCCUAAUUUAUAGCUGGAAAACUAGGCUACGCUGGUAUCUUAAAUUGACUUUCCUGAGGUCACGGGCACUCAGUGCCAAGAGGAGUUGGUACCUACGCAUUUGAAAUUUCUGGAUUUCUGGUCUUACUCUGUACUUAGUCACUCUUUUCUUUCAUUUGGCCCUAUGGUGGGCAAACUACAGCCUACAGGCCAAUUCCAGCCUACCAUCUGUUUUUGUAUGGUCCAUGAACUAAGAAUGGUUAUCACAUUUUAAAAUGGUGGGAAAAAAAGACUAUUUUGUGACAUAAAAAUUAUAUGAAAUCCAAAUUUCAGUGUCUAUAAAUUUUGUUGGAAUAUAGUUACC
rnacentral:lncRNA from 1 species